UUAAUAAAUCAUAUGUUUAUUAAUAUUUAAUAAUAUAUCUUAAUAAAUCAUAUAAUUAUCUGUGAGCGGCACAAUUAUAAUUUUUUGUAUUUGGAAGUAUUCAUUUGCUAGACCUUGAAAAAGAUGCCUCAAUAUUUGUGAUCUUGUUGUCUCUUCAUUUUGAAAUAUACCAAGAACAUUAAAAAAAAUAAAAAUCAGUGAUCCAAAAUCCUCUUUACCCCUGCUUGGAGCAGAGAUGAAGAUGUCCUCAUCUUAGCACAAGGAGCUGGGAGCGUGGGGAACACACUGAGUUACAGACGGUCACUUCAGUCCAGAUGCGAGAGCACUCUGAUGAGCUAACUAGUCUGCUCCAAACAGGGGCGGACUCAGAGCUUGGGGAGGUGGGUAGGGGAGGAGUCUUCACAGAGGAGGCGACAAAGCUGGCUCGCAGAGACCGUAGGAGUCUUGGAGGUGGAGAACGAGGGGAGGGAAAGCAUUCCAGUCUUCCAGAACAGCAUGUGCGCAGUCAGGGAGGCGUGAAAGGACAGAGCGUGUUUCAGAAUGGUCAGGAUUGGGUAUGGUUGGAGGGAAGAACGUGGGGGUGGAGUGGCAGGGGAGGAAGCAGAGCAGGCACGGUCUCUUAUGUCCCUUUGCCCGCCCACCUGCCUGCCUCUGGCUCUGAGUGUGGGUCAGCAGUGCUGGUGACAAGGUGCAGAUGGGGUGGGGGGUGGCCUGGGGUGAGAAGAGCAGAUUGACUCUGCAGGAGGAGAGGGGGGAGGCGGGGACUGGGAAGCUCUUUCUGACCUCAUGCAUUUCAGUUGGUUUUCUCCUGAGAGUGUCACUACUUUGAAAAAAUGUAAACAGUUGCAUUAAAAAUGUGCCACAGGCUUAUUUAGUACUGUUUACUCUAUUGACAGGCAUCAGGCCUGAUUCCACAUUUACAGUGUAUCUGUCCUAUAUCAGCUUGGCACUGGGAGAUAGGACACUGCCCGUCAGUGACUGCAAGGCUGCCGUGAGGAUUACACGUGAGAACGGCUGCAAAGCGCAGGGGCCCAGAGGAGGGCCCUGGCACCCAGUGGCCACGAUGGUCAUGGGAGAGGCAAACGCAGCACAGACGCUGUCUCAGGGAGGGCAUGGAUUAAACCACGUGUUCCCGACAACAGUGAAUGCAAAGCCCACGUGAUAAAGAGCACAGCUUGACCAGUGUGGCUGGAGCACCGUGGGUCAGGGAGAGGCCGAGGCAGCACUGCAGGACCCGGGAGGCUCUGCCACAAGCAGUGGGAAAACAUGGAGGGCUGUAAAGGGGGCUGAUGGAGAGGGGGGCUGCAACGUGAUCAGAUUUGCAGUUUCAAAAAGCCUAUUCUGGUCAGUGCCGUGGAGAGCAUGAAUUGGAGGGGGUCCCGAGUGGAUACAGGAAGACUGGCUGGGAAGGUCCUGAUGCCUGCUGACCGACAGUCUGAGGCCUAUUCAUGCUUUUCUGUGUCCUCUCGUGAACGUAGAUGUGAACUGCAUAGAUGUGGGAACUGGAGACGACUUGUUCUUCUG
ensembl:lncRNA